GGCGGCGUAGCUCAGUUGGCAAGAGCAUGCGGUUCAUACCCGCAGUGUCGGUGGUACGACUCCACUCGCCGCUACCA
rnacentral:tRNA from 1 species